GGUGAAAAGCACCCCGGAAGGGGAGUGAAAUAGAACCUGAAACCGUGUGCUUACAAGUAGUCAGAGCCCGUUAAUGGGUGAUGGCGUGCCUUUUGUAGAAUGAACCGGCGAGUUACGAUUUGAUGCAAGGUUAAGCAGUAAAUGUGGAGCCGUAGCGAAAGCGAGUCUGAAUAGGGCGUUUAGUAUUUGGUCGUAGACCCGAAACCAGGUGAUCUACCCUUGGUCAGGUUGAAGUUCAGGUAACACUGAAUGGAGGACCGAACCGACUUACGUUGAAAAGUGAGCGGAUGAACUGAGGGUAGCGGAGAAAUUCCAAUCGAACCUGGAGAUAGCUGGUUCUCUCCGAAAUAGCUUUAGGGCUAGCCUCAAGUGAUGAUUAUUGGAGGUAGAGCACUGUUUGGACGAGGGGCCCCUCUCGGGUUACCGAAUUCAGACAAACUCCGAAUGCCAAUUAAUUUAACUUGGGAGUCAGAACAUGGGUGAUAAGGUCCGUGUUCGAAAGGGAAACAGCCCAGACCACCAGCUAAGGUCCCAAAAUAUAUGUUAAGUGGAAAAGGAUGUGGCGUUGCCCAGACAACUAGGAUGUUGGCUUAGAAGCAGCCAUCAUUUAAAGAGUGCGUAAUAGCUCACUAGUCGAGUGACACUGCGCCGAAAAUGUACCGGGGCUAAACAUAUUACCGAAGCUGUGGAUUGUCCUUUGGACAAUGGUAGGAGAGCGUUCUAAGGGCGUUGAAGCAUGAUCGUAAGGACAUGUGGAGCGCUUAGAAGUGAGAAUGCCGGUGUGAGUAGCGAAAGACGGGUGAGAAUCCCGUCCACCGAUUGACUAAGGUUUCC
rnacentral:rRNA from 1 species